rnacentral:rRNA from 1 species
AUACGGGGGGUGCAAGCGUUAUUCGGAUUUAUUGGGCGUAAAGGGCGCGUAGGCGGCUUGGUAAGUCAGAUGUGAAAGCCCGGGGCUUAACCCCGGAAGUGCAUUUGAAACUAUCAGGCUUGAGUAUGGGAGAGGGAAGUGGAAUUCCUGGUGUAGAGGUGAAAUUCGUAGAUAUCAGGAGGAACACCGGUGGCGAAGGCGACUUCCUGGACCAAUACUGACGCUGAGGCGCGAAGGCGUGGGGAGCAAACAGGAUUAGAAACCCUAGUAGUCC